rnacentral:lncRNA from 1 species
ACUCCUAAAGUGGUCAACUGACCAUUUUGGUCAUGUUGACUUAUUUGUAGAUCUUACUUUGCUGAACAUUAUUGCUGUUUACAGUUUAUCUCUAUCUAUAAUAAUAUUCAAGAUAAUAACCAAAAACAGCAAAAUUUCUUUAAAAUUACCAUUUCAGGGGCAGCAACCCAACAACGGAAUGUCCGAUUCAUCUGAAAAUUUCAGGGCAUAUAGAUCUUGACCUGAUGAACAAUUUUACCCCCCAUGUCAGAUUUGCUCUAAAUGCUUUGGUUUUUGAGUUAUAAACCAAAAACUGCAUUUUACCCCUAUGUUCUAUUUUUAGCCAUGGCGGCCAUCUUGGUUGGUUGGGCGGGGCAUCGGACACAUUUUUUUAACUAGAUACCCCAAUGAUGAUUAUGGCCAAGUUUGGUUAAAUUUGGCCCAGUAGUUUCAGAGGAGAAGAUUUUUCUAAAAGAUUACUAAGAUUUACGAAAAAAUGGUUAAAAAUUGACUAUAAAGGGCAAUAACUCCUAAAGUAGUCAACUGACCAUUUUGGUCAUGUUGACUUAUUUGUAGAUCUUACUUUGCUUAACAUUAUUGCUGUUUACAGUUUAUCUCUAUAUAUAAUAAUAUUCAAG